rnacentral:misc_RNA from 1 species
UCGAGCAAGGGUCCCUCGGGGCCCGACCUCCCAACCCUUGUGUCUACCACACCACGUUGCUUUGGCGGGCCCGCCCUCACGGGGCCGCCGGAGGUCCCCACGGACCCCUGGCCCGCGCCCGCCAACGGCCUACGCACAAAAUCUGACAACGAACCGUGACCGUCUCAGUUUAAAAAUAAAUUAUGAA